GAUGAACGCUGGCGGCGUGCCUAAUACAUGCAAGUCGAGCGAACAGAUGAGGAGCUUGCUCCUCUGACGUUAGCGGCGGACGGGUGAGUAACACGUGGAUAACCUACCUAUAAUACUGGGAUAACUUCGGGAAACCGGAGCUAAUACCGGAUAAUAUAUUGAACCGCAUGGUUCAAUAGUGAAAGACGGUUUUGCUGUCACUUAUAGAUGGAUCCGCGCCGCAUUAGCUAGUUGGUAAGGUAACGGCAUACCAAGGCAACGAUGCGUAGCCGACCUGAGAGGGUGAUCGGCCACACUGGAACUGAGACACGGUCCAGACUCCUACGGGAGGCAGCAGUAGGGAAUAUUCCGCAAUGGGCGAAAGCCUGACGGAGCAACGCCGCGUGAGUGAUGAAGGUCUUCGGAUCGUAAAACUCUGUUAUUAGGGAAGAACAAAUGUGUAAGUAACUAUGCACGUCUUGACGGUACCUAAUCAGAAAGCCACGGCUAACUACGUG
rnacentral:rRNA from 1 species